AUGACUGAAGCGAUAUCUGAACUUACACUUCGUCAGUUAACUUGGAAUAUGACAAUACCUCCCCGUGAAGCACACACUUGUCCUCAAGUGUUACUGUCAGGAAACCAAGAUUGGAUGGGCAGUGACUUGCUCUUGCAUCCCAUCCACCUUGCUACUGAUUUCCUCUGUCCUUGCCCCGACUUGAUCCAGAUCGAGCUUCAUGGCGGCCACCUCUUGAGCGUCCGCCUUCUCUUCUUGGGUCUUCGAUUUCGCCAUCGAACUGCAAGAAAGGUCCGGAAUUUUACCACGGAACAGCCCAGCAACCGCAUCUCAAGCUACAGAUCUGUGCCCGAAUUUGUCUACCGCCGCCUACGCCUCCACGAACCAGAUCACCACCGCCCGACGCCGCCGAGGAACCUGGCUCUGAUACCAAUUGUCAGAUCCCAACAUGGAUCUAAAGCUCGAACUGACUCCCGAUGUGGAGUACCCUCGAUCAGCCUCGCCGGCGCGCAGCCCAGAUCCGAGCUCCCCUGCCUCCGCUCUUCCCUCCCCUCCGGCCAGAUCCGCCUCUCGCGUCCCCGGUACCGGAUGUCGGAGGGGUCGAUCCCUAAGGAGGCGGCGUACCAGAUCAUCAGCAACGAGCUAAUGCUGGACGGGAACCCGUGGCUGAACCUGGCGUCCUUCGUCACCACCUGGAUGGAGCCCGAGUGCGGCAAGCUCAUGAUGGACUCCAUCAACAAGAACUACGUCGACAUGGACGAGCAUUAUGACAUGUAUCUCUUGUGCCACGCUUCGCUGGCCUACUGUCUGGUGCUUGGCCUCGACUACAAACCAACGAGCAUUAACAUAGGUGCUCUAGACCUGCUCUGCGCCUGUUCAGAGGAAGGCAAGUUGUUGCAUCUGGAGCACAUCAGAGGGAACAAUGAAGUUUGUAGUUUGUACCACUUGGUUCUUACCAUUAGGACAAACUUGUGGCGGCCGACGAACGAGGGCAGCUGCGGUGGACGAACUAAGGGAGCGGUGACGGCAUAUGAGGUGGCCGGCGUAGCCACCAGCGGGGGAGAGAUGGGGCAGGCCGCCCCUCCUCACGGAUGCACCAGAACGAACGUCUCACACGCGGCAGCGAUGGAGGAGAUGUCCACCGUCUCGCGCUCAGCAGCGGGAACAACAGAUGUGGUGGUCCUCGUUCGGCCUUAA
rnacentral:rRNA from 1 species